rnacentral:rRNA from 1 species
UACGAAGGGGGCUAGCGUUGCUCGGAAUCACUGGGCGUAAAGCGCACGUAGGCGGAUCUUUAAGUCAGGGGUGAAAUCCCGAGGCUCAACCUCGGAACUGCCUUUGAUACUGGGGAUCUCGAGUCCGGGAGAGGUGAGUGGAACUGCGAGUGUAGAGGUGAAAUUCGUAGAUAUUCGCAAGAACACCAGUGGCGAAGGCGGCUCACUGGCCCGGAACUGACGCUGAGGUGCGAAAGCGUGGGGAGCAAACAGGG